CCUCGACUGCGACUGUCGCUACAACAAGUAAAGGUACAACAAGUAAAGGUACAACAAGUAAAGCGGCGGCAACUACAGUGGCUGCAACAAAAACUACUGAAG